GACGAACGCUUGCGGCGUGCUUAACACAUGCAAGUCGAGUGAGAAACUUCAGUUUCUAGCGGCGGACGUGUGAGUAACACGUGGGCAACCUGCCUCACAAUGGGGGAUAGCCUUCCGAAAGGAAGAUUAAUACCGCAUAACACAAAGGAAACGCAUGUUUCUUUUGCCAAAGAAUUUCGUUGUGAGAUGGGCCCGCGGAGCAUUAGCUUGUUGGUGAGGUAACGGCUCACCAAGGCGACGAUGCGUAGCCGAACUGAGAGGGUGAUCGGCCACAUUGGAACUGAGACACGGUCCAGACUCCUACGGGAGGCAGCAGUGGGGAAUAUUGCACAAUGGAGGAAACUCUGAUGCAGCAACGCCGCGUGAGUGAUGAAGGUCUUCGGAUUGUAAAGCUCUGUCUUCUGGGACGAUAAUGACGGUACCAGAGGAGGAAGCCACGGCUAACUACGUGCCAGCCGCCGCGGUAAGAC
rnacentral:rRNA from 1 species